rnacentral:lncRNA from 1 species
GACACUUGCCAGUCCGAAGGAAGGUGGAGAAGAGGAAGCACAUUGACAGGGCAUCAUCGAGGUCCUGCAGAGCAUCGAUAAAUGUCAGGUUCAUAUUGUCUGUGAGUUGUAUCAUGGAUAUUCCAAGAUUUUUGCCUAAUAUCUACUUACCAGGGACAACGCAACCUAAAACCAUGAUUCUAUACACAGCUGCAUACCUUCUCUUCUGAAAGUGGAAUCAGUUCAUCUCGAGAUCCAGAGCUUGAGUUAUUAGCAUCCUGGACACAACACCACCACACCAGGAGUGUACCACAAAGGAAAAGCCUCAUGUUAGUUACUUGAUUCAAUUUUCUUUCUAUUUAUGCAAGAGAAUGGUCUCUGUAUUGUUCCCAUCUGGUACAUAUGAAGCUUCUCUGAUGAUCACUGGAUAAGGAACUGAUCUGUGUUAAAGCAUUUACCAUGAAGUUCUUUUGUGCACCCUUUGGGUACCAUGGCUUCAGAGGCAAGAAGAGGAUAAAUGAGAUUCCUUCUGACUUCUUAUAGGAGUUACAGAUGAUUUAAAGCUGUCCCCUGGAUAAUGGAAGAACACCCAAUAUUUUCAAUGACUAACCAUGCAUCUAGCAUUGAGAACUUGGACUUUUAAAGUGUUGAUGUUUUCUGUUGUUGCUGUAGUUGUUGUAGUUCUUGUUCUACUUCUAAAGUUGUACUGCAUCUUAUAUUGUGACACUAAUAUUAAUAUAGUGUGGGAGACAAGCAGAAAGAGAUAUGGUUUAAAGCAAUCUAUUUGUGUAUUAAGUCGACAAAGGGUCAGUUGUGUUGUUUAGGGAUUUUCUCAAAUUGACAUAAACACAGAGUCAUGUGUGAAUAGGUAAACUAGGUGAGAAAUAUGCUUUCUUCUAGUUGGCCUAUUGGUCAGUAUUCUUGAUCAAUGACAGACAUGAGAUGAACCAGUUGCCUAUGGUUGGUACCAUCAGGUGUGCCAGUCUUAUAUAUAAAGCAGGCUGCAAAAACCAUGAAGAACAAAUCAGUAAGCAUAAAUUAUUGAAUCCUCUGCUUCAGUUACUGGAUCCAAAUUCCAGUCUUGCCUUUGAGUUCCUCUAUGAUUUCCUCUGUGAUAUGCAUUCUUAAAGAAAAAUAAAUCCUUUACUUCCU